rnacentral:misc_RNA from 1 species
GAUGAAGAACGUAGCGAAAUGCGAUAAGUAAUGUGAAUUGCAGAAUUCAGUGAAUCAUCGAAUCUUUGAACGCACAUUGCGCCCCUUGGUAUUCCGAGGGGCAUGCCUGUUCGAGCGUCAUUAUCACCCCUCAAGCUCAGCUUGGUGUUGGGGCCGGCCCGUCACAGGGCCGCCCCUAAAAUCAGUGGCGGUGCCUGUCGGCUCUACGCGUAGUAAUACUCCUCGCGAUUGAGUCCCGGUAGGUCUACUUGCCAGCAACCCCCAAUUUUUACAGGUUGACCUCGGAUCAGGUAGGGAUACCCGCUGAACUUAAGCAUAUCAAUAAGCGGAGGA